AGAACGAACGCUGGCGGCAUGCCUAACACAUGCAAGUCGAACGCUCCUGGGGCUUCGGUCUCAGGGGAGUGGCGCACGGGUGAGUAGCGCGUGGGAACCUGCCCUGUUGUGGGGGAUAACCGAGGGAAACUUCGGCUAAUACCGCAUAAGCCGGUUGUCUUGAAAGGGAUGGCCGGGAAAGAUUUAUCGCUGAAGGAUCGGCCCGCGUCUGAUUAGCUUGUUGGUGAGGUAACGGCUCACCAAGGCGACGAUCAGUAGCUGGUCUGAGAGGAUGAUCAGCCUCACUGGGACUGAGACACGGCCCAGACUCCUACGGGAGGCAGCAGUGGGGAAUAUUGGACAAUGGGCGCAAGCCUGAUCCAGCAAUGCCGCGUGAGUGAGGAAGGCCUUAGGGUUGUAAAGCUCUUUCACCCACGACGAUGAUGACGGUAGUGGAGAAGAAGCCCGGCUAACUCGUGCCAGCAGCCGC
rnacentral:rRNA from 1 species